CAAAUCAUAUAUCCUAACAACAAUAACUAAGUCGGGAACGGGAACAAUGGAUAAAAGCCAAAAAAAGGAGAACAGAUCUAAAAUUAAAAUAUGAAAGACUAUGCAGUGAAUAUUGUAUCAGUGGAAAGCCAGCCACUUUAGAGGAUAUAAAUAAUGAAGAUUAGAAGAUUGGAUUCCAAACCAAAACAUAGUGUACCAAAGCCAGGCAAUAAAAAGAAAUGGUGAUCUAGAACGCAAGGAAAUAGCUGAUAAAAGAAAUAAAAGUGAAGAAAAUAAUGCUGAGACUUCUCUCGACCAUG